rnacentral:rRNA from 1 species
GACGAACGCUGGCGGCGUGCUUAACACAUGCAAGUCGAACGGUGAAGCGCCUUCCUUUUUGGUGGGUGUGGAUGAGUGGCGAACGGGUGAGUAACACGUGAGUAACCUGCCCCCUUCUUCUGGAUAACCGCAUGAAAGUGCGGCUAAUACGGGAUAUUCUGGGUCUGUCGCAUGAUGGGUCUGGGAAAGAUAUUGUUUCGGUGGGGGAUGGGCUCGCGGCCUAUCAGCUUGUUGGUGGGGUGAUGGCCUACCAAGGCGGUGACGGGUAGCCGGCCUGAGAGGGUGGACGGUCACACUGGGACUGAGACACGGCCCAGACUCCUACGGGAGGCAGCAGUGGGGAAUAUUGCACAAUGGGCGCAAGCCUGAUGCAGCGACGCCGCGUGAGGGAUGGAGGCCUUCGGGUUGUGAACCUCUUUCGCCAGUGAAGCAGGCCUGCCUCGUCUGUGGGUGGGUUGACGGUAGCUGGAUAAGAAGCGCCGGCUAACUACGUG